UACAUAUGGGGCAAGCGUUGUUCGGAAUUACUGGGCAUAAAGGGUGCGUAGGUGGUUGAGUAAGUCGGUGGUGAAAUCCUUCGGCCUAACCGGAGAACGGCCAUUGAUACUGCUCGACUUGAGUGCGUGAGGGGUAGCUGGAACGAGUGGUGUAGCGGUGAAAUGCGUAGAUAUCACUCGGAACACCCAAGGCGAAGGCAGGCUACUGGUACGCAACUGACACUGAGGCACGAAAGCGUGGGGAGCAAACAGG
rnacentral:rRNA from 1 species